UACGUAGGGGGGCAAGCGUUUGUCCGGAUUUAUUGGGCGUAAAGAGCGUGUAGGCGGCUGGGUAGGUCCGUUGUGAAAAACUCGAGGCUCAACCUCGAGACGCCGAUGGAAACCCUCCAGCUAGAGUCCGGAAGAGGAGAGUGGAAUUCCUGGUGUAGCGGUGAAAUGCGCAGAUAUCAGGAAGAACACCCGUGGCGAAAGCGGCUCUCUGGAACGGUACUGACGCUGAGACGCGAAAGCGUGGGGAGCGAACAGG
rnacentral:rRNA from 1 species